rnacentral:rRNA from 1 species
AGAGUUUGAUCAUGGCUCAGAAUCAACGCUGGCGGCGUGCCUAACACAUGCAAGUCGAACGCGAAAGGGGAGCAAUCCCUGAGUAGAGUGGCAAACGGGUGAGUAACACGUGGGUGACCUACCUUCGAGUGGGGGAUAACGUCCCGAAAGGGACGCUAAUACCGCAUGACAUCCUGCUUUUGGAAAAGCGGAAAUCAAAGCUGGGGAUCGCAAGACCUAGCGCUUGAAGAGGGGCCCGCGCCUGAUUAGCUAGUUGGUGGGGUAAUGGCUCACCAAGGCAACGAUCAGUAUCCGGCCUGAGAGGGCGGACGGACACACUGGGACUGAGACACGGCCCAGACUCCUACGGGAGGCAGCAGUGGGGAAUCUUGCACAAUGGGGGCAACCCUGAUGCAGCGACGCCGCGUGAGCGAUGAAGCCCUUCGGGGUGUAAAGCUCUUUCGGCAGGGACGAUAAUGACGGUACCUGCAGAAGAAGCUGCGGCUAACUACGUGCCAGCA